rfam:Bacteroides sp. CAG:189 genomic scaffold, scf406
ACGUUUUUUUCAUAGAGAUUUAGAUUUAAGGUUAGAAGAAUUGCGGAAGUCGUGAGACUUCCCUUUUUUUCGCUUUAACGUUUACUGCCUUUUCAAUUUUUUCAAAGCAAGUAAACAAGAAAAGCCGCUUCGAGAGAAGAGGCUUUUUC